GUCGGUGGUUCGUUUUGCAGUUCGUGUCCGGUUUGACGCGCAGGUUCUUGUGAAGUGACGUUUCUGGUUUGGUUGAACACUACCUCAAAUUCAGAUAUGACAGGAAAUGUUAAAGUGAUUUCAUCUUUCAGUGAUUUUCAAGACUUUCAAGUUAAAGUUUGGAAAUGAAGCAGCG